rnacentral:rRNA from 1 species
UACGAAGGGGGCUAGCGUUGCUCGGAAUCACUGGGCGUAAAGCGCACGUAGGUGGGUCGCUAAGUCGGGGGUGAAAUCCUGGAGCUCAACUCCAGAACUGCCUUCGAUACUGGCGAUCUUUGAGUCCGGGAGAGGUGGGUGGAACUGCGAGUGUAGAGGUGAAAUCGUAGAUAUUCGCAAGAACACCAGUGGCGAAGGCGGCUUACUGGUCCGGUUCUGACGCUGAGGCGCGAAAGCGUGGGGAGCAAACAGGAU